CCUUGUGAUGAAAUGCUUGUCCAGUUCUGCUACUGAAGGAAUGAGAUGAAGGCUUCAGGGCUGAAGAAG